rnacentral:rRNA from 1 species
AGAGUUUGAUCCUGGCUCAGGAUGAACGCUGGCGGCGUGCCUAACACAUGCAAGUCGAACGAAGCAUACACCACGGAAGCCUCCGGGCGGAAGAGGGGUAUGACUGAGUGGCGGACGGGUGAGUAACGCGUGGGCAACCUGCCCUGUACCGGGGGAUAACACCCAGAAAUGGGUGCUAAUACCGCAUAAGCGCACAGUGCCGCAUGGCACGGUGUGAAAAACUCCGGUGGUACAGGAUGGGCCCGCGUCUGAUUAGCUAGUUGGCAGGGUAACGGCCUACCAAGGCAGCGAUCAGUAGCCGGCUUGAGAGAGUGACCGGCCACAUUGGGACUGAGACACGGCCCAAACUCCUACGGGAGGCAGCAGUGGGGAAUAUUGCACAAUGGGGGAAACCCUGAUGCAGCGACGCCGCGUGAGUGAAGAAGUAUUUCGGUAUGUAAAGCUCUAUCAGCAGGGAAGAAGAUGACGGUACCUGACUAAGAAGCCCCGGCUAACUACGUA